rnacentral:rRNA from 1 species
GAAUUGUAGUUUAUAGAAGCGUUUUCGGUGGCAGCCUGGGUAUAAAUCCUUUGGAAUAGGGUAUCAUAGAGGGUGAGAAUCCCGUCUUUGACUCAGUGCAUGCUACUAUGUGAUACGUUUUCGAAGAGUCGAGUUGUUUGGGAAUGCAGCUCAAAAUGGGUGGUAAAUUUCAUCUAAAGCUAAAUAUUGGCGAGAGUCCGAUAGCGAACAAGUACCGUGAGGGAAAGAUGAAAAGAACUUUGAAAAGAGAGUUAAACAGUGCGUGAAAUUGUUGAAAGGGAAACGCUUGACACCAGUCAUGCGAGUGGAAAAUCAGUCUUUUGCAGUGGGGAGUUGUGGGCGUUCAGACCGCAAGGCUGGCGUUUGCUUCAUCUUUGUUGUAAGUGAUGCACUUUUUCAUUUGCAGGUCAACAUCAGUUUGCUUUGCUGGACAAAACCCCAAGGGAAGGUGGCAGCUUAGGCUGUGUUAUAGCCCUGGGGCGAUACAGUGGAGUGGACUGAGGUUUUCGCAGUGUGUGCUCUCUGGGCAAGGCUGACUGGGUGCUAUGGGAUCGUUCGGCGUACAAUGCAUGCAUUUUGCGCCGUGUCUUUUUCAUACUCGCUCAACUCGGCUCUUCCACACUUAGGAUGUUGACUUAAUGGUUUUAAUCGACCCGUCUUGAAACACGGACCAAGGAGUCUAACGUAUAUGCAAGUGUUUGGGUGGCAAACCCAUGCGCGUAAUGAAAGUGAACGUAGGUGCCAUCCGCAAGGUGCAGCAUCGACCGAUCUUGAUAUUUUUGGAUAGAUUUGAGUAAGAGCAUAUAUGCUGGGACCCGAAA